UCAAAUCAAUUUGCUUCUAUUUUAAUGUUCAUCAGCUUCCAUUUACUUAAAUCUUUGAAGUAUUUUUACAAAGAUUGCAUCAAUCUUAAAAAUGUCAAACCUAGAAAAGAAAAAAGAACAUUUUCAAAAUCUGAUGCGCUAAGGAAAAAGCAAAGCUAUUCUUUAACUCUGUAUCAACAAAUAGAUUAAGGGACACAUCAAGCCAUCUCUGUUUCUAAUUUGCUGCUGACCACUGUUAUUUUGCAGACCCACAAAGUACAGCCGGAGGCCCCUGUGGGCCCCCGACCCCCAUUUUCAGCAUCAAUGGGAUGCGAACAUGGGGUUUCUUUUUUCAAGGGCGGCCUCAGUGACCGGGUGGUCUUCCUACGAGAACCGAAACACAAAAUGUGGAGGUGCCCUCGGUUUUUCAAGAGAAGAUUCGGACGGAUCAAAGUCUAAUCUGUUCCUCUAAUGCACUGGCUUCUCCGCGGAUUGAACCGUCCUGACCUGUCGCCUGGCAGUCCAAUCUGCAAGAAAAGGUUCCCCUGGCGGUCCGCCGAGCUGCAGCCGAGGAUCAGCCGAGGCCAAUCCGAAGGUUCCUUUAAACCGAAGCGGAGUUGUUAAACAGCCAAAGGGUCGCACUGUGCUCAUCUGGCGGCUUCCUCUCCUCGGCCAAUCUCCGCCAUUAAAUUGGCUUUUGUGAAAGCUCUCCAAUUGGCCGUCCCCGCGCCGCACACGGGACGAGAUAUGACAACCAACAGCGGCAGCCGGCAGAAUGGUUAUUCCCACAAGUCCAAACAGAAGCCAGGUACGCACAUUUUGAACAUCUGAAACGAUUUGUCAGUGAGCCAACUCACACGACAAUAAAAAAAUGUCCAGGUUGGUUUUGGAGCUUACUGCUCGUCACAUGCGAUCUGCUCAAGCUAACCAACACAUAAGAAGAUCUAGAUUUAUUUUGUCACAAAAGAUGGAGGAGGAUGAAUCACUCUUUAUACAACCCACACAAGAUAAUCUUUUAGAGCCAUCCGAUAAUCAAUUGAUCUGAAAGGGCGGGAAAUCGGAUUCAAUUCUCUCCAAUUAGAGCCAGUCAGUCAAUACACACAUCCUUUAUUGGGGGGAAAUUAUCUCAAUUGGAAAUAGACAUUUUUAAAUAACACUCAGACUCUAACAAGACACACGAAAGUUAAAAGUUUCAUUAACAAGACAGCCAAGUGAGACAAAAUUCCAACGCUUCUGCUGUGAUGCUUGGUUGCCCUUUGCUAAUUUAAAGACAGCCCGGAAACCUUCGACAAUUAAACCGACAGCUGCAAUUUGUCCAAUAUUCAAAUGAUUCCCUCUGCCCAAAAUGACCUGAAUGCUUUCUAUGUAUUCCGCAUUUGGUCUUAAAACAAUGUCACAACAUUUUUAACGAGGAUCUCUGUAUUGCUAAAAUGCUAAGGCUAAAAAACACGAAUUUAAAUGACGACAAAUUAAUGAAUGUGAAAACCUUCCAAAAUAUCACGAACAUUUUGAUCUUGGAAUUGUAAGUAAGUGGAAAAUAUGGAAGGCUACCUUUCACGGCUAUUAAUUACCACAAGACCUCUUUUUGCUGACAUUGAAAUGAUUUGAAUGAGUCUAGGAAAAGUUUCAGAAUAAACCCAAAUAUUUUUCAGUUUCAGAAGAAAAUGUGAAAUUGAAGCGGCCCUCCAAAAUGUAGCACGCUAAAAUCAUCAGCCAAUGAUUCCCUCAGUCAUCAAGCAGGUCCCGCAGGCAGGUUACCGACAUCUAACGGCUGAUCAAUGACCCGAUCGAAAACUCUACACUCCCCUUGACCCACCCUGCCAAUGUUCACUUUCACGCAAUCACCAAAGUGAGAUGAUCCUCACAUCACACCAUCCUGAGCCGCUGCCGCCUAGGCAGCAAACCUAAGAAACAUACGUAAGUCUCAAGUAACGGCGGAGAAAAU